rnacentral:rRNA from 1 species
CCUACGGGGGGCUGCAGUGGGGAAUCUUCCGCAAUGGACGAAAGUCUGACGGAGCAACGCCGCGUGAGUGAAGAAGGUUUUAGGAUCGUAAAGCUCUGUUGAGAGGGACGAGAAGCAAGGCAAGGAAAUGUGCUUUGUAGGACGGUACCUUUCGAGGAAGCCACGGCUAACUACGUGCCAGCAGCCGCGGUAAUACGUAGGUGGCGAGCGUUGUCCGGAAUUAUUGGGCGUAAAGGGAGCGCAGGUGGGAAAGUAAGUCUGCUUUAAAAGUUCGGGGCUCAACCCCGUGAUGGAGUGGAAACUACUUUUCUUGAGUGCAGGAGAGGAAAGCGGAAUUCCUAGUGUAGCGGUGAAAUGCGUAGAUAUUAGGAGGAACACCAGUGGCGAAGGCGGCUUUCUGGACUGUAACUGACACUGAGGCUCGAAAGCCAGGGGAGCGAACGGGAUUAGAUACCCCAGUAGUC